GUACCUGUGGCUCAAAGGAGUAGAGUGCCAGCCCCAUAUGCUGGAGGUGGUGGGUUCAGGCCCACCACCUGCC
rnacentral:tRNA from 1 species